CCCUGGUGGGUCAGAUAGUAGAGACUCUGCAUGCAAUGCAGGAGACCCAGGUUCGAUCCCUGGAUCGGGAA
rnacentral:tRNA from 1 species